rnacentral:rRNA from 1 species
UACGGAGGGAGCUAGCGUUGUUCGGAAUUACUGGGCGUAAAGGGCGCGUAGGCGGCGCGACAAGUCACUUGUGAAAUCUCUGGGCUCAACCCAGAACGGUCAAGUGAUACUGUCAUGCUAGAGUGCGGAAGGGGCAACUGGAAUUCUUGGUGUAGCGGUGAAAUGCGUAGAUAUUGGGAAGAACACCGAUGGUGAAGGCAGCCAUCUGGACCGACACUGACGCUGAGGCGCGAAAGCGUGGGGAGCAAACAGG